AUUGAACGCUGGCGGCAUGCUUUACACAUGCAAGUCGAACGGUAACAGGGAGCUUGCUCCGCUGACGAGUGGCGAACGGGUGAGUAACGCGUCGGAACGUGCCGAGUAGUGGGGGAUAACGCAUCGAAAGGUGUGCUAAUACCGCAUACGUACUGAGAUAGAAAGUGGGGGACCUUCGGGCCUCACGCUAUUCGAGCGGCCGACGUCUGAUUAGCUAGUUGGUGAGGUAAAGGCUCACCAAGGCGACGAUCAGUAGCGGGUCUGAGAGGAUGAUCCGCCACACUGGGACUGAGACACGGCCCAGACUCCUACGGGAGGCAGCAGUGGGGAAUUUUGGACAAUGGGCGCAAGCCUGAUCCAGCCAUGCCGCGUGUCUGAAGAAGGCCUUCGGGUUGUAAAGGACUUUUGUCCGGGAGCAAAUGCUGGUGGCUAACAUCCACCGGAGCUGAGAGUACCGGAAGAAUAAGCACCGGCUAACUACGUGCCAGCCGCCGCUGUAAUAC
rnacentral:rRNA from 1 species